AACGAACGCUGGCGGCAUGCCUAACACAUGCAAGUCGAACGAGACCUUCGGGUCUAGUGGCGCACGGGUGCGUAACGCGUGGGAACCUGCCCUUAGGUUCGGAAUAACUCCCCGAAAGGGGUGCUAAUACCGGAGAAUGUCUUCGGACCAAAGAGUUAUCGCCUUUGGCUGGGCCCGCGUUGGAUUAGCUAGUUGGUAGGGUAAAAGCCUACCAAGGCGACGAUCCAUAGCUGGUCUGAGAGGAUGAUCAGCCACACUGGGACUGAGACACGGCCCAGACUCCUACGGGAGGCAGCAGUGGGGAAUAUUGGACAAUGGGCGAAAGCCUGAUCCAGCAAUGCCGCGUGAGUGAUGAAGGCCUUAGGGUUGUAAAGCUCUUUUACCCGGGAUGAUAAUGACAGUACCGGGAGAAUAAGCUCCGGCUAACUCCGUG
rnacentral:rRNA from 1 species